ensembl:lncRNA
AUGCCUCUCUCCAGGUGGGAAGGGACGCUGUCGGUGAGGUCGAUCCAGGCUCCGGCCCGCGCCGUCCGAAGUCCGGGGUGGGGGUUCUUUCGGCUCAGCGAGGGUCGUGCCCGCCAGGCACCCGGGCCGCUCGGGCGCUCAGGCGGCGCAUCCUCGCCGGGGCCUGUGCUCACCGCGUCCGGCGGGCGGCGCUGCGCCUCCCCUCGGGGUCCUGCUCAGGGCUGCAGCUCCCCGGGGCGCCCUCUCAGCCCGCGCCAGGAGCCCGGCGGCCGCGGCCCCUCUAGCCGGCCCCAGCUGCAGCUUGUCUUUGUUGCUUCCUCUCGCUCGACCGCCUGCCCGAGGCUUGCAGCUCUCUGGUUUGCCCGAGGGUGGGGGGGUCGUCUCCUCCGAGGCUGCACGCACCUGCAGCGGCCCGGCUUCUCGCCGGGCAUGCACCGGCCCCCGCAGGUUGCAAAGAGCGGUGGCGAGAACGCACCGGCCCCUCCUCCUCCUGCUCGGAGCCCCGGGUGUUGGGGGAGGGGAAGCCGGAGAGCAGCAGCAGCCGCGGCGGCUGCAGCGGGCGGUGGAGGCUCGGGUGCAGCCCCGGGGGCCUCGGCGCCGAGAAAUAACCAGUCCAGGUGGCGCUGGGCGGAUGUGGGAACGGCCCGGAGAAUGGUGCACUGGGCGUUCGAGCUCUCCAGCUGCAGUAGAACCGGCGCCUCGCCUCGCCUCGGGCCCGGGUGCCGCGCGCCGCGCCCCACAAGCGGCGUGCCCUGCUCUUCGCCUCCCCCGGUGCCGCGCGCAGCCUCUCAGCUGAGCCACCGGCUCGGCUGUCCUGCUCGCUGCUCCGCUCCGGCCCGACUGACAGGCGCUAGCGCCGGCAGCCGCCGCUGCGUCUCGCCCCCCUCCCGCCCCCUGGAGCCUGGUCCAAUCAGUGACGGCCGAGAGGCGGUUACCAGGGUGACGCGGCGCCGCGUCCUGUGGGAGGCGGGGCCGGGGGCCGCCACGCGCGCUUUUCGCGGCAAAAUUCAAAGGCCGGUAGGGCAGCUCUCCAACCUCCUCCCCCAAGCAGGGGCGAGGCGGGGCCUGCCUCGUGAGGACUGCAACUCCCGGCCUACAGCGCGCCGGCGCCAGUCGUAG